UACGGAGGGUGCAAGCGUUAUCCGGAUUCACUGGGUUUAAAGGGUGCGUAGGUGGGCAGUUAAGUCAGUGGUGAAAUCUCUGGGCUCAACCCGGAAACUGCCAUUGAUACUAUCUGUCUUGAAUAUCGUGGAGGUAAGCGGAAUAUGUCAUGUAGCGGUGAAAUGCUUAGAUAUGACAUAGAACACCAAUUGCGAAGGCAGCUUACUACCCGAAUAUUGACACUGAGGCACGAAAGCGUGGGGAUCAAACAGG
rnacentral:rRNA from 1 species